rnacentral:rRNA from 1 species
ACUUAAAUUGAAGAGUUUGAUCAUGGCUCAGAUUGAACGCUGGCGGCAGGCCUAACACAUGCAAGUCGAGCGGUAGCACAGAGAGCUUGCUCUCGGGUGACGAGCGGCGGACGGGUGAGUAAUGUCUGGGAAACUGCCUGAUGGAGGGGGAUAACUACUGGAAACGGUAGCUAAUACCGCAUAACGUCGCAAGACCAAAGUGGGGGACCUUCGGGCCUCAUGCCAUCAGAUGUGCCCAGAUGGGAUUAGCUAGUAGGUGGGGUAACGGCUCACCUAGGCGACGAUCCCUAGCUGGUCUGAGAGGAUGACCAGCCACACUGGAACUGAGACACGGUCCAGACUCCUACGGGAGGCAGCAGUGGGGAAUAUUGCACAAUGGGCGCAAGCCUGAUGCAGCCAUGCCGCGUGUGUGAAGAAGGCCUUCGGGUUGUAAAGCACUUUCAGCGGGGAGGAAGGCGAUAAGGUUAAUAACCUUGGCGAUUGACGUUACCCGCAGAAGAAGCACCGGCUAACUCCGUGCCAGCAGCCGCGGUAAUACGGAGGGUGCAAGCGUUAAUCGGAAUUACUGGGCGUAAAGCGCACGCAGGCGGUCUGUCAAGUCGGAUGUGAAAUCCCCGGGCUCAACCUGGGAACUGCAUUCGAAACUGGCAGGCUAGAGUCUUGUAGAGGGGGGUAGAAUUCCAGGUGUAGCGGUGAAAUGCGUAGAGAUCUGGAGGAAUACCGGUGGCGAAGGCGGCCCCCUGGACAAAGACUGACGCUCAGGUGCGAAAGCGUGGGGAGCAAACAGGAUUAGAUACCCUGGUAGUCCACGCCGUAAACGAUGUCGAUUUGGAGGUUGUGCCCUUGAGGCGUGGCUUCCGGAGCUAACGCGUUAAAUCGACCGCCUGGGGAGUACGGCCGCAAGGUUAAAACUCAAAUGAAUUGACGGGGGCCCGCACAAGCGGUGGAGCAUGUGGUUUAAUUCGAUGCAACGCGAAGAACCUUACCUGGUCUUGACAUCCACAGAACUUUCCAGAGAUGGAUUGGUGCCUUCGGGAACUGUGAGACAGGUGCUGCAUGGCUGUCGUCAGCUCGUGUUGUGAAAUGUUGGGUUAAGUCCCGCAACGAGCGCAACCCUUAUCCUUUGUUGCCAGCGGUCCGGCCGGGAACUCAAAGGAGACUGCCAGUGAUAAACUGGAGGAAGGUGGGGAUGACGUCAAGUCAUCAUGGCCCUUACGACCAGGGCUACACACGUGCUACAAUGGCAUAUACAAAGAGAAGCGACCUCGCGAGAGCAAGCGGACCUCAUAAAGUAUGUCGUAGUCCGGAUUGGAGUCUGCAACUCGACUCCAUGAAGUCGGAAUCGCUAGUAAUCGUAGAUCAGAAUGCUACGGUGAAUACGUUCCCGGGCCUUGUACACACCGCCCGUCACACCAUGGGAGUGGGUUGCAAAAGAAGUAGGUAGCUUAACCUUCGGGAGGGCGCUUACCACUUUGUGAUUCAUGACUGGGGUGAAGUCGUAACAAGGUAACCGUAGGGGAACCUGCGGUUGGAUCACCUCCUUACCUUAAAGAA